rnacentral:rRNA from 1 species
UGGGGAAUAUUGCGCAAUGGGGGGAACCCUGACGCAGCCAUGCCGCGUGAAUGAAGAAGGCCUUAGGGUUGUAAAGUUCUUUCGGUAUUGAGGAAGGUUGAUGUGUUAAUAGCACAUCAAAUUGACGUUAAAUACAGAAGAAGCACCGGCUAACUCCGUGCCAGCAGCCGCGGUAAUACGGAGGGUGCGAGCAUUAAUCGGAAUAACUGGGCGUAAAGGGCACGCAGGCGGUUAUUUAAGUGAGGUGUGAAAGCCCCGGGCUUAACCUGGGAAUUGCAUUUCAGACUGGGUAACUAGAGUACUUUAGGGAGGGGUAGAAUUCCACGUGUAGCGGUGAAAUGCGUAGAGAUGUGGAGGAAUACCGAAGGCGAAGGCAGCCCCUUGGGAAUGUACUGACGCUCAUGUGCGAAAGCGUGGGGAGCAAACAGGAUUAGAUACCCUGGUAGUCCACGCUGUAAACGCUGUCGAUUUGGGGGUUGGGGUUUAACUCUGGCGCCCGUAGCUAACGUGAUAAAUCGACCGCCUGGGGAGUACGGCCGCAAGGUUA